CUGAGAGGAUGACCAGCCACACUGGAACUGAGACACGGUCCAGACUCCUACGGGAGGCAGCAGUGGGGAAUAUUGCACAAUGGGCGCAAGCCUGAUGCAGCCAUGCCGCGUGUAUGAAGAAGGCCUUCGGGUUGUAAAGUACUUUCAGCGGGGAGGAAGGGAGUAAAGUUAAUACCUUUGCUCAUUGACGUUACCCGCAGAAGAAGCACCGGCUAACUCCGUGCCAGCAGCCGCGGUAAUACGGAGGGUGCAAGCGUUAAUCGGAA
rnacentral:rRNA from 1 species